AGGAAAUAAGGACCCA
rnacentral:miRNA from 1 species